rnacentral:lncRNA from 1 species
GACUAGCGGGUUCUAGAGAUAAAAAUCCCCGAAAGAAAUUGGUUGAGAAAAGUUGCAAGGUUCUUGAAGAACCUGAUACUGAAAAAUGUCUGAAAGAAGGCAUAAGUGAAAAGGUUCCAGAAGAACCUGAUACUGAAAAAUGUCUGAAAGAAUGCAUAGAUGAAAAGGGUCAAAAUGAACCAAAUAAAGAUGAUCCAGAUGACGAAAAGGGAACAAAAAAGUAUGAGAUUUCCAUCA